rnacentral:lncRNA from 1 species
GCAGUGCUCUUUCUACAUGAGAUAAAGACAUGGCACCCUGCCUUCCAGAGACAAGGUUCCCAACAACUGUGCUGAAUGAAUGGAGGAAAAAUGAACCCAAACCAGGAACACAAAUCCUUGUGUGUGAACAUAAACCUACUUCCAAAAUUCUUGAGGAAUCCCUAACUCAAGUCCCCCAAGUCCUGUUUGGUUGUGCACAGAAAGAG